UACGUAGGGGGCGAGCGUUGUCCGGAUUUAUUGGGCGUAAAGAGCUCGUAGGCGGCUUGGCAAGUCGGGUGUGAAACCUCCAGGCUCAACCUGGAGACGCCACUCGAUACUGCUAUGGCUAGAGUCCGGUAGGGGACCACGGAAUUCCUGGUGUAGCGGUGAAAUGCGCAGAUAUCAUGAGGAACACCGGUGGCGAAGGCGGUGGUCUGGGCCGGCACUGACGCUGAGGAGCGAAAGCGUGGGUAGCAAACAGG
rnacentral:rRNA from 1 species